AUGUCUGGCACCAAUGUGGAGUUGGUGUAUUGGAAUGUGAGAGGCCUCAAUAGCCCGGCCAAGAAGAAGGCCCUUAGAGAAUUUGUAGAUUCUAUCAAUGCCGCUAUCAUUUGUAUCCAGGAGACAAAACUUGCUGUGGUGGACCGCUUUACUAUUCUGCAAUGUCUUGGUCCGGCGUAUGAUGGUUUUGCCUAUCUCCCUGCCAAUGUGACACGUGGAGGUAUAUUGUUGGCAUGGAACUCGACUCUAGUCCAGGUGUCCAACCUGGUCAAUGACUCGAAUUUCAUCAUGGGCUAUGUUGCCCCUCUAAUGGGAUCGCCCUGGUGGCUAUCUGUUGUGUAUGGCCACAGGAGGACACAGAGAAAAUUGCUUUCCUGGACGAAUUGGUGGAAAGGCGCGCUCUAUGCCGUGGCCCUUGGAUGGUGA
rnacentral:rRNA from 1 species